rnacentral:rRNA from 1 species
CCUACGGGAGGCAGCAGUGGGGAAUAUUGCGCAAUGGCCGAAAGGCUGACGCAGCGACGCCGCGUGGGGGAUGAAGCAUUUCGGUGUGUAAACCCCUGUUGCUCGGGACGAACAACCUGUUUAGACAGGUCUGACGGUACCGGGUGAGGAAGCACCGGCUAACUCCGUGCCAGCAGCCGCGGUAAU